UGAUGAUGAUGAUGAUGAUGAUGAUGAUGAUGAUGAUGAUGAUGAUGAUGAAGAAGAAGAAGCUGAUAAUGAUGAUGAUGACAAUGAUUAUGACCAUCAUCAGUUUGAGAAGAUGUUCUGGGAUGCAGAUAUGGGGAGUAUGAAGAGGUUUUUCAAGACCUUGUUGAAAAUGAAAAAAAAAAAAAGAGUCAAUAUUCCCUCCUUCCUUCCUGAGCUCCAGGACAUAUCAUGUGUUUUAUAGUGAUAGUCUGUUCUACAACUCCUUCCUGAGCUCCAGGACAUAUCAUGUGUUUUAUAGUGAUAGUCUGUUCUACAACUCCUUCCUGAGCUCCAGGACAUAUCAUGUGUUUUAUAGUGAUAGUCUGUU